UUAUGCGACGCUAAAAUGCUUGAUGCUCGUUUCGUUCGUGUUCACUUUAUGUAAUUUUAUCUAUGGUUGACGGUAAAAAGUUCGUUUCCAUCCAACUUUCCAGCAUUGGCGGGCCAAUUCUUUUUGUGAAAAUUUCCGAGGGAAAGAAUUGAAGUUCUUGGGUGUACCACCGACAGGAAUGGUGUCUCCUAGCGUACAUAUACAAUAUCAUAUUCAGAAUGAUAGAAAUUUAAUAUACAGUGUAAAUAAUGAUAUGAUUUUGAAUCGUUUCUGAGCUUCAUUUUUUCCCAUUGAGUGUAAUGAAUGCUGUAUUUCUGCACAAGGGAUAAAUUAUGGGAUGAAAACUCAGUUGAAUCUCCCUUGUCAGAAUGCAAAAGGAAUGCGCAUUCAACUGAAUUAUGACGUCACAAGUGAGAAUUAUCUGAGAAUCGGUGUAAAUGGAAAGCAACUAUUAUUGACGGAGUGUAAUUUAAAAAUGGAUGCGCUUUGAAAGGAUGCAUGUUGGCUAGAAUGCAACAAAUGAUGCUAUCCUUCUUACCAAUGUACGAAAGCUCGCUUGGCAUACAUGAGAUCAAAUUUGUGAUCAAGUCGGGCCCAUGCAUCCACGAUCGCUGUCGUGUUGCAGAGACAGCAAACAGCUCUUUCUACCCGCGCGAGAUCUCCACCUGGUACAACGAUUUACAAUUGUGACGGUAAAUUGAAGUACCUAUUGUAUAAUGGCCCCUGGCAUAAUUAUUAGCUGCAUCUUCCUUCCCGGUAAUCAUUUGUUCCGGAUGGAAUAAUUGUCUGACACUUACCUACCACCGUUGGCUCGAGAUCGACCAAAACCGCUCGCGGGACAUGCUUCCCUGAACCAGUUUCGGAAAA